ensembl:lncRNA
CAAUGAGAAACAACCAACUACAGCUGAACGGCAAACAUGUGGACGCUUGUAAUAGUCAAUCAGAAAACAAAGUGAUCAUGCCACCUAAUGGCCACAUACCAAACGAGUACGGUAAAAAGGAGGAUAACGGAAAAGAAAAAACAAAAAGUAUAAUUAUUAAACAAAAAAGUCUGGAGACUAAAAUGAAAAAGGGUGUGACCUUUGAGGGACUGGAGAGGGAUAUUUGUAGAAACAUCAGGGAAGAAGUACAGUGCCAUAACCGUCCAAUUAGAACCAGUCCUCCCUUGAGAAGUGUUGCUAACGGCAGGUUAAAACUGAGAAGGAACUGUCACUUCACCAAUGGGAGCAUAGUUGACUCUGAGGUAAUGGGCGGGAUCAGCAGUGACAUCAGUGAAGGGGAGGAGUCUUCCACCAGACAGAAAAAAACGUUACCGCCAUGCUCACCUCCUCACAGACCUCCCGUGACCAUCUGCAGCACUUGUGGAGGAAGACAGAAUCCAGCACCUUGUGGACUCUACAGCCAAAUAAGGAUGAUUACACCACCAAAUUCCGCAGGUUCUCUGGGACCCCAGUCGAGACAUUUGUCCCCUCUUUACCCUGGGAAGAACAUGCAGGAAUAUACGCAGAUAGAAAGGCACACCAACUGCAGUGCUACACAAUCAGAAAAGCACCCCAUGAGCACUAACCUUCAUUCUUAUCUCAACAUGAAUAUAAACAAGGAAUGGCCAUUAUCUCUGCUGCCUGCUCAGCAGAGUGAGGCAUCAAACCUCACUAAUCAUCACACAGUCAAGAGGGAAUCUAGUGCUGACACACACAUUAAUCAUACCAGUCGCUCAUCGGCUCUAAAUACACACACUCUCACUGUUACCGUGAAAGAGGAUAGAGGCUCAACAAAGGUCGUAAACACACACCUGAACACUCACAAACCUCACAACUCUUGUCCCCGCAGAACUCCUGUGUCUGUCAACCCUCCCCAAACACACAAAAACAGCCUGUCAGAGAAGAUAGAUAACAGAAUACCACACACAAACACCCACUUCAGAUCAUCUCACCAGCCAAACCCUGAUGAGAAACAACCAACUCAAGGAAACCAAGUGAAAUCUACACACUCAGAGUCUCCCCAGCCACAAAAUAAAACACACAUCAAACAUUUGCAAACUACGUUGAAACAACCGCAGAACUCCAAACCUCAAAGCAGUGAUGCACUUUCGAGAUGCUCACGGUUUAAUCAGACAAAAUCCCCUGCCUGUUUUCAUUUACAUUCAAACAUUAAACGCCAAUCUAUAGUGCAGAGUUGUGUGAAUGAAGGUGUCAUAUCCUCCACUGCUUCAAACAUUCACAGUCAGGUUCAAUUACCUAAUGGAUUAGAGUCCAAGUUUGACAUGCAUACUAAACCGUCAAUGUCCUCACACACAAAUUUCGGCAUUAAACCUCAAAGCGGGACACAAAUCUGCGCUGACACAGAGUCAGAAUCCUCACCCUGUGAUUCACGUUUGCAUUUUGCACUGGUGACACACACACCUAAACUCUCAGGGCCUCACGGUGAACCACAUCACGAAUCGAUACACAACGGCACUCCUUCACCCACUGACAUGCACAAGGAAGCUUCCCACACAUCCACACAGCGAACGAACACCAGUGGAACAUCACUGCAGGGUAUAUCCGUGCAUAAAGACGCACUGUCACAUCCUUAUCGUGAGUCAAAAAGCCAAAAUGACACUCUCUUCUUUUCACAUGCCCCAAAUAUGUCAACCCAUCACAAAGCAACACUUACAAUGCAAACAAUCAACCGUCAGAACCUCUCAAAUGCAUUUACCACCUCUCAGACUGAGGUGGAGGUGCAUUCGUACACCAAAGAACGUUCUCAAACGAGCCCCGGGGUCAAAUCAGCCUCGCACGCUUUGUGUGUUCAUUCAAAAACGCCACACAGACAGACAGAGCCUACGGUUCUCAGACGCUCUGUCCUGAAUCAGCUUAAUAAUGACACUCUUGAGUCCUCAUUACUAGCCAUUGCUUCCGCUAGGGCUUUUCCUCAAGCUACAACACACAACAGGACUGAAUUAAAAUUUUGGAGUGACACAGAGUCAAAGAAACAGGCUGAUAUUAAGGCAGUAGAACCAGAAGGUCAAAUUAUCAAUGGCUCAAAACACUUGCUUCAACCUACAAACAAACCACCUCCCUCUUGUCGACCUCCUAAACCUUCUUCUGCACCUCCACAAGCACCAGCUUUUAAAUUCACAACAGGGGGCAGUGAAAACAGAGGCCUGAAUGUGGCCUCCAGUCAAAACUCACUUCUGGCACCCUCAGGCACUUUGCCUACGGAACACACACAGAAAGAUGGAAAUCUCCAGAAUUUAAAGACACAGAGGGAAUCUCAUUCUGAAGGGACUAGGCCCAUCACAAGUGAACACUGUUCCAUAACGCACGACCAUCCGGAUUCUGUGGCCCGGUUGCUGCCUGCAUCCCCUAAAUGUUGCAGUCCGCGGAACCCUAAGCACAGAUUAGAGAUGGUAGAGGCGAGUCUGCAGUCCAACAAGGAAAGAAUCACAACUCUGCUCAACAUCAUCCAGGAUCUGGAGAUGAGCCUUGCAAUCAGCAAAGGGUGAGAGACAGAGUUAUUCCAAGAUUAGCAGAUAAUAGACAAGUGUGACUGGUGAGCUGGAUGUGUUAAAGGUAAUUGUGAGAAAGGUUUUAGAGCCGAGGUGCAGGAAGAAAGUAUAAUUAUAGUUUAAUUUGAUGUACAUUUGGUUUUAUCUCCAAGCGUAGGUCAAUAAGGGCUAUAAAAGAGCUCCAACUGCAUUUAUGAAUGUGAGGCAUACUAAAAGACAUACUAAAACAUUGCAUUUUAAAAUCUUUUUCCCUGUCUGCUAUUUUUGUAGUCGCCGAUGUUUUCGGACUG